ACCAAUCAAGACAUCAGAAUUCUAAUCUUUAAGGAUUACUCUUUGCAAAUCACACAGCAGAGACACGUCUUCACACCCAUCUGCUCAGUGUUACACAAAAAAAGGCAUAAGAUUUGCUUUGUUAUAUCCUGCCACACUUACGCAUUGCAAACCAUACUCUAUCGGCCUCUUCAGUAUCAGAGGUUUACCACCUUUCUUCAAAAUGUUCUCUCAG